UUCAUGUUCAUGAACUGGAGCAGGAUUCAUGGCCCCGAACUAAAAUCUUGUCUGAAAUUCCUGUUUCAGAGCCCCAAACGUAUCAUUUGACUGUACACAGAAGAAGAAAAAUCAAAUUCUGUGGAGGAAUUUCGUUUGAAUUUUAUAUUUUUAAUUAUAAUAUCAUAAUAAUGAUUUUCUGAAUAUUGUAUUCUUUUGCACUGCCAGUUUAUCUUCCUCUCUCUGAUUCAUCGAUGGCUUUCUCUUUGAACCCUCUAUCGACUCAUAGAUUACAUUUAAACAUUCAAAAUCCUCCUCCUCGGUUUCUAAUCCAGACAGGAUCUCCACGAUUUCGAGUUCUUCGCUGCCAGACAAAACCAGAAUCCGCCGAAGCCUAGGUAAAAAACCCAUCAAAAGAAGGAAGCAAAAGCUUCGAUUUUUCUCUCACAAUUUCGAUUUUUUACGAGUCUGGUCGGAUUCUGGGGGCAAUUGGCGUAAUGGGUCUUGCGUCUCUCGGCUCAGGAAAAGCUGGUUGUUAAUGGCGGCUCGGUCGGUGAUAUGGUUCAUCGUCCUCAGCGAAGGCAACGAAUUCAUCUCCGGCUGAUUCUGCUUCUGGGUUCCCGGAAUUUCCCACCAAAGAUAUCAACAGACGAGUCGCGGUCCUGACUGUAGUUGCAGCUUUAGGGCUUUUCGUCUCCACGAGGCUCGAUUUCGGGGUUUCCUUGAGGGAUUUGUCAGCUUUGGCAGGCUGGGAAUUAGGCCUUGUCGAAUGGGAAGGCGACCGUGGUGGAGUUCUAUGCCGACUGGUGUGAGGUGUGUCGGGAACUAGCCCCUGAUGUUUACAAAGUCGAGCAGCAGUACAAGUACGGAUCAUGUUCUUCUCGUGAAAGGAUUUGGGCAGGGACCUGGUUAACUCCGCGAUGCUAAACGUGGACAACACGAAGUGGGAACAAGAGCUGGACGAGGUCGGGGUCGAGGGUAUUCCCAAUUUCGCAUUCCUCGAAAGACGGGAAACGAGGAAGGGAAUGCAGUAUCUACUCGAGAACGUAGAUGCUCUUGCUCGUGGUGAGCCGUCCAUUCCGCGUGCCCGAGCGGUGGCCGGUCGGUUCUCGAGCCGCUGAUUCCCGUAACGCUCAUCAAGCGGCCGAUCCCAGAAGCCAUGGAUAGACAGAAAGACAGACCCUCCUCUUCCUUUUCUACUCGAAGUUGUUCCAAGGUGUUAAGUGUGUCUCUUAUGUUUUCAGUGCGAAUGCUCUGUUUCAUAGGAUCCAUUUUUAGCAAUCUUGAUCUUUCUCUUGCAGCAUUUAUCACCUUGAGGCUUGAGUUGUAAUUAAUUUUAUCUUUUAUUUGUCACUCAAUUAAUUUCUCUUC